rnacentral:rRNA from 1 species
AGAGGCGAACGGGUGAGUAACACGUAUCCAAUUUGCCCCUAAGUGGAGAACAACUAGAUGAAAGUUUAGCUAAUACUCCAUAGGAUGUUCAAAGGCAUCUUUGAACAUUUAAAGGUGGGUUUCCACCGCUAAGGGAUAAGGGUGCGCAGUAUUAGCUAGUUGGUGAGGUAAUGGCUCACCAAGGCAAUGAUGCUUAGUUGUACUGAGAGGUAGAACAGCCACAAUGGGACUGAGAUACGGCCCAUACUCCUACGGGAGGCAGCAGUAGGGAAUUUUUCACAAUGGGGGCAACCCUGAUGGAGCAAUGCCGCGUGAAUGAUGAAGGUUUUAGGAUUGUAAAAUUCUUUUGUUUGGAAAAAAAAGAAGAUAUAGGAAAUGAUGUCUUUUUGAUGGUACCAGACGAAUAAGCAACGGCUAACUAUGUGCCAGCAGCCGCGGUAAUACAUAGGUUGCAAGCGUUAUCCGGAUUUACUGGGUGUAAAGCAAGAGCAGGCGGUUUAUUAAGUCUAGGGUGAAAUAUUAUUGCUUAACGAUAAUAUGCCUUAGAAACUAAUAAACUAGAGUAUGGUAGGGAGUUUUGGAACUCCAUGUGUAGCGGUGAAAUGCGUAGAUAUAUGGAAGAACACCAGUGGCGAAAGCGAAAACUUAGGCCAUUACUGACGCUCAGUCUUGAAAGCUAGAGUAGCAAAUGGGAUUAGAUACCCCAGUAGUUCUAGCUGUAAACUAUGGAUACUAAA